CUUCAAAACACACUGGCCGUUUCUCAAUACGUGUACUUCUCUGUACUUGUGAACUCACGGACUCGUGAAACGUCAUCAGUCAGAGACCAAGUACUGUUCCAAUUCAAAGUUCGCAUCUCACCAAGUCCGCAUAAAAUACCCGGAUGUGAC